GACAGAGGUGCCGAGCGUUAGGCGGAAUCACUGGGCUUAAAGCGUGUGUAGGCGGAUCGUUAAGUGCCUUGUGAAAUCCCACGGCUCAACCGUGGAACUGCUUGGCAUACUGGCGAUCUUGAGCCACUUAGGGGCUACCGGAACAAAUGGUGGAGCGGUGAAAUGCGUAGAUAUCAUUUGGAACGCCAAUGGUGAAAACAGGUAGCUGGGAGUGAUGCUGACGCUGAGACACGAAAGCCAGGGGAGCAAACGGGG
rnacentral:rRNA from 1 species